rnacentral:rRNA from 1 species
UACAGAGGGUGCAAGCGUUAAUCGGAAUUACUGGGCGUAAAGGGUGCGUAGGUGGUUAUAUAAGUUAGGUGUGAAAUUCCUGAGCUACAACUUGGGGAUACUGCGCCUGAUACUGUAUAGCUAGAGUACUGUAGAGGGAAGUGGAAUUUCCGGUGUAGCGGUGAAAUGCGUAGAUAUCGGAAGGAACAUCAGUGCGAAGGCGACUUCCUGGACAGAUACUGACACUGAGGCACGAAAGCGUGGGGAGCAAACAGG